AUUGAACGCUGGCGGCAGGCCUAACACAUGCAAGUCGAACGAGUGGCGGACGGGUGAGUAAUGUCUGGGAAACUGCCCGAUGGAGGGGGAUAACUACUGGAAACGGUAGCUAAUACCGCAUACCAUCGGAUGUGCCCAGAUGGGAUUAGCUUGUAGGUGAGGGAACGGAUCACCUGGGCGACGAUCCCUAGAUGGUCUGAGAGGAUAAACAGCCAGACUGGCACUGACACGAGGUCCAGACGCCUACGGGAGUCAGUAGUGGGGAAUAUUGCACAAUGGGCGCAAGCCUGAUGCAGCCAUGCCGCGUGUAUGAAGAAGGCCUUCGGGUUGUAAAGUACUUUCAGCGGGGAGGCGUUACCCGCAGAAGACGCACCGGCUAACUCCGUGCCAGCAGCCGCGGUAAUAC
rnacentral:rRNA from 1 species